GCGGAGGUGCCGGAGCGGUCAAACGGGACAGGCUUAGGACCUGUUAGCUUAGUGCUUACCCAGGUUCGAAUCCUGGCCUCCGCA
rnacentral:tRNA from 2 species